CGUAGGGGGCUAGCGUUGUCCGGAAUCAUUGGGCGUAAAGCGCGCGUAGGCGGCCCGGUAAGUCCGCUGUGAAAGUCAAAGGCUCAACCUUUGAAUGCCGGUGGAUACUGCCGGGCUAGAGUCCGGAAGAGGCGAGUGGAAUUCCUGGUGUAGCGGUGGAAUGCGCAGAUAUCAGGAGGAACACCGAUAGCGAAGGCAGCUCGCUGGGACGGUACUGACGCUGAGGCGCGAAAGCGUGGGGAGCGAACAGGAUUAGAUACCCUGGUAGUCCACGCCGUAAACGAUGGGCACUAGGUGUGGGAGGUGUCGACUCCUCCCGUGCCGCCGCUAACGCAUUAAGUGCCCCGCCUGGGGAGUACGGCCGCAAGGCUA
rnacentral:rRNA from 1 species